rnacentral:tRNA from 1 species
GUUAUUUUGGCAGACUAGUGCGAAGGAUUUAGAAUCUUUACAUGUAAGAAAUUUACAAAUAAUA